AGUGAACGCUGGCGGUAGGCCUAACACAUGCAAGUCGAACGGCAGCACAGUAAGAGCUUGCUCUUACGGGUGGCGAGUGGCGGACGGGUGAGGAAUACAUCGGAAUCUACUUUUUCGUGGGGGAUAACGUAGGGAAACUUACGCUAAUACCGCAUACGACCUACGGGUGAAAGCAGGGGAUCUUCGGACCUUGCGCGAUUGAAUGAGCCGAUGUCGGAUUAGCUAGUUGGCGGGGUAAAGGCCCACCAAGGCGACGAUCCGUAGCUGGUCUGAGAGGAUGAUCAGCCACACGGGAACUGAGACGCGGUCCAGACUCCUGCGGGAGGCAGCAGUGGGGAAUAUUGGGCAAUGGGCGCAAGCCUGGUCCAGCCAUACCGCGUGGGUGAAGAAGGCCUUCGGGUUGUAAAGCCCUUUUGUUGGGAAAGAAAAGCAGCAGGUUAAUACCCCGCUGUUCUGACGGUACCCAAAGAAUAAGCACCGGCUAACUUCGUG
rnacentral:rRNA from 1 species